UCGACAUGAGGCGAGAGCGGUUAACUUUGGGCGACGGUUGGCCCCCCCUUGGGUUGUGCCGUGGCGGAGAUCUUUGUGGGCUAUACAAGACCUUGUCUCAGGAUGAGGACCUGAGCCCUAGGACCAUGCCUCAGGACUACCUGGCAUGAUGACUCCUUGCUGUCCCCAGUCCAGCUGGCUGUGCUGCUGCUCCAGUUUCAACAGUUCUGCCUGUGAUUAUUAUUAUUUGAUCAUGCUGGUCAUUUAUGAACAUUUGAACAUCUAUAUUCAUAAAUUUUAUUUGAUUUGAUUUCAAAGAUGAUGGUACAAAGAAACUGAAAGCUUAAGGCCAAAAGUAGUUCUAAACAAUGGGAGUGGCUACAACCUUACCACCCAUAAUAUCCCAAAGUAGCCCUAGCUAGGCCUAUAAGAUAAGUAAAUUAAGUCAUUUAUCAAGAUUAUGGGUAUAGCGUUAUUAUCAUGUAGGACUAGUUAUUUAAAUAAAUGGUCUCGGAUGACUAUUUGCACUCACA